UACAAACAUGCAUACAAAAUAUAAUAUAUUUCAUAACAACACUGAGAUAUAUAUUUAAACUCGUUAAAAAUUGUGUUGAACAAAGGGUUUGAAAUUUGUCGAUAUUCGCUAAUCAUUCGAGUGUAUUGCAUUUAUAAACGAUUAUCAGUAUUAUACGAGGGAGUCGAGCUUUUCUCUUUGUUUAGACUAAAAGAAUUGUUUAACGAUCAGGAAUUCAACAUUAUUUAAAAUUAACUGUAUCUUUCAUCUAAUGGAUUGUAAAACGGUUUUAAUGACAAUCAAUUGAGACGUCUUAUAAAGAAAAAAGAAACUUGUCAGAUCAAAAGAAAAAAAAAAGAAACUUGUCAGAUCAAAAGCACAUAUUUAAUAAAUAUAAAAAAGUCAUUGAAAAGUAUAAAAUAGUAGUUUGUUGCUGAUUGCUUAAAUACAGUUUUAAAUCUUUAAAAACUGUAUUUAAAAGUGAUGUACGCAAUUAAAAUAGAUCAAAGUUCUAAUGAAUAAAUUUAAAAAAUUCAUUUAAUAAAAGUAAAAACAAUUGUCUUUUGUUCUUGCCUUCUUUGGACUACAUCAAGCAAAGUAGAGAAAACUUCUUUCUACUACAUCAAGCAAAGUAGAGAAAACUUCUUUCUACUACAUCAAGCAAAGUAGAGAAGCGAUUUAAAAAUGAAAACUUAAAAAGAUUAUUCAAAAUGAAACAACUUGAAAAAUUAGAAUGAAACAUUUAUCAAGUAGAAAAACAUUUCGGUGUCAGAAUGUAA
rnacentral:lncRNA from 1 species